GCCAUGCCGCGUGAGUGAAGAAGGCCUUCGGGUUGUAAAGCUCUUUUGGUGGGGAAGAAAUCGGCUGGGUUAAUACCCGGGGGGGCUGACGGUACCUGAAGAAUAAGCACCGGCUAACUUCGUGCCAGCAGCCGCGGUAAUACGAAGGGUGCAAGCGUUAAUCGGAAUUACUGGGCGUAAAGGGUGCGUAGGCGGUUUGUUAAGUCUGAUGUGAAAUCCCCGGGCUCAACCUGGGAAUUGCAUUUGAUACUGCCGGGCUUGAGUGUGGCAGAGGGGGGUGGAAUUCCCGGUGUAGCAGUGAAAUGCGUAGAGAUGGGGAGGAACAUCGAUGGCGAAGGCAGCCCCCUGGGCCAACACUGACGCUCAUGCACGAAAGCGUGGGGAGCAAACAGGAUUAGAUAC
rnacentral:rRNA from 1 species